CGGGUGAGUAACGCGUGGGAAUAUGCCCUUUGGUACGGAACAGUCCCGGGAAACUGGGUUUAAUACCGUAUGUGGUCCUUCGUAGUGGAUACGGGGGACGAAAGAUUUAUCGCCAAAGGAUUAGCCCGCGUUGGAUUAGGUAGUUGGUGGGGUAACGGCCUACCAAGCCGACGAUCCAUAGCUGGUUUGAGAGGAUGAUCAGCCACACUGGGACUGAGACACGGCCCAGACUCCUACGGGAGGCAGCAGUGGGGAAUCUUAGACAAUGGGGGCAACCCUGAUCUAGCCAUGCCGCGUGAGUGAUGAAGGCCUUAGGGUUGUAAAGCUCUUUCAGCUGGGAAGAUAAUGACGGUACCAGCAGAAGAAGCCCCGGCUAACUCCGUGCCAGCAGCCGCGGUAAUACGGAGGGGGCUAGCGUUGUUCGGAAUUACUGGGCGUAAAGCGCAUGUAGGCGGACCAGAAAGUUGGGGGUGAAAUCCCGGGGCUCAACCCCGGAACGGCCUUCAAAACUAUUGGUCUGGAGUUCGAGAGAGGUGAGUGGAAUUCCGAGUGUAGAGGUGAAAUUCGUAGAUAUUCGGAGGAACACCAGUGGCGAAGGC
rnacentral:rRNA from 1 species